GCCUCGGUGGCUAAGUGGUAAAGCGUCGGAUUCGUAAUCCGCAGGUCAGGGGUUCAAUUCCCCUCCGGGGCUCCA
rnacentral:tRNA from 2 species